rnacentral:rRNA from 1 species
GAGUUUGAUCCUGGCUCAGAUUGAACGCUGGCGGCAGGCCUAACACAUGCAAGUCGAGCGGUUGACGGGAGCUUGCUCCCUGAUUCAGCGGCGGACGGGUGAGUAAUGCCUAGGAAUCUGCCUAUUAGUGGGGGACAACGUUUCGAAAGGAACGCUAAUACCGCAUACGUCCUACGGGAGAAAGCAGGGGACCUUCGGGCCUUGCGCUAAUAGAUGAGCCUAGGUCGGAUUAGCUAGUUGGUGGGGUAAAGGCUCACCAAGGCGACGAUCCGUAACUGGUCUGAGAGGAUGAUCAGUCACACUGGAACUGAGACACGGUCCAGACUCCUACGGGAGGCAGCAGUGGGGAAUAUUGGACAAUGGGCGAAAGCCUGAUCCAGCCAUGCCGCGUGUGUGAAGAAGGUCUUCGGAUUGUAAAGCACUUUAAGUUGGGAGGAAGGGUUGUAGAUUAAUACUCUGCAAUUUUGACGUUACCGACAGAAUAAGCACCGGCUAACUCUGUGCCAGCAGCCGCGGUAAUACAGAGGGUGCAAGCGUUAAUCGGAAUUACUGGGCGUAAAGCGCGCGUAGGUGGUUUGUUAAGUUGGAUGUGAAAGCCCCGGGCUCAACCUGGGAACUGCAUCCAAAACUGGCAAGCUAGAGUACGGUAGAGGGUGGUGGAAUUUCCUGUGUAGCGGUGAAAUGCGUAGAUAUAGGAAGGAACACCAGUGGCGAAGGCGACCACCUGGACUGAUACUGACACUGAGGUGCGAAAGCGUGGGGAGCAAACAGGAUUAGAUACCCUGGUAGUCCACGCCGUA